CUCUUUCUUAGCCCCCCAAAUAGCUCAUGGCAUAGAAUUCCUUCUGGGAAGAGUAGAAAAGACAAACCCCACCCAAAUGCAGAGAAUGUCAUCUCCUGACCUAUAUAUAUUUGCUGUAUGCAGGGAAAAAAAAAUAAAAAUAAAUUGGUUCAGAUCUCUCUUCAUCAUCCUCACUCUGCAUUUGGCUCAGAGGCUCCAUCACACGAGAACAACACCGGUGUGGAAACCCCUCCUCAAUCCCACGCAUGUGUGAGGAGCGUUGGAUUUGUUUGGUUGCUGAAGCCUCUGAGAGUGUUUUCCCUCUUAAAAUUCCGGCUCUGUCUUUCUGUCUCCUCAUCACUUGGUACCUGGGAGCCUCAUUUCUCCCCGAGUUAAUGGCAGGGGAGUGCUCGUUAUGCAGAUGCCAGGGAAGCGUCUCCGUAGCAACAGCAGCCAUGGAAGCUCUCGGAUCUCAUUUAGCUCCCCAAGCCAUUCGUGUCCCUUGCACUCUCAGCAGCGUCCUGCCUCACGAACAACUUGGCUCCUGCAUUUUUUCACACAUCCCGGGGUGCAGAUCAUUCCCUAAGCGCAGAUCUGAGCUCACCCCCACCGGAAAUCUCUCUGCGCUGCUGUUUGAGAAUGUAUCGGUUGGAAAAAACUCAGCUUGGGCGUUCGGAAAAGAGUCCCAGCAAAGGCACGGACAGAGGAAUAUUCCCAGGAAAGAGAUGCAGACCUACGGUGGCAAUAAAAUCCCCAUCAAAUGUAAACUGUGAGGAUGGGAAUCUAUGCAGAAAACCUCUCCAUAGGCACCGUCACCUCCUUUUGGUUUCCAUAGAGAUUUGGGUUCCAGCAGAGAAAAUCCUGAUUGACAUGUACUUUCUGAGAGGUAAAGCCUCAGCAACACAGGAACAAGCUCUGAAUGUUUAUUAAACUCCUUCAUGGCAGAGCAUUUCAGGGCUUCCUUAUUUUAUUUAUUUUGAGAAUAAUUCAUUAUUGCUUUUUUAUUUUUUCCCCCCUAAACUUUUCUCAUGCCCUGGCAAAGGUGCUGGAUUGGCAGCUUUGGACUCUGUGAUCACACCCAGAUUUCAGCAAACAGGUAAAGCUGCAGACAAAUGGCUGAGCAGGGAGGGAAAACAAAAUUCCUUGAUUUCUUCUGAUAGUCAGAAUUUCAAGGAAAUCCAGAUUAAGCAAUGACUUUGUGAGCUGUGGGGAGAAUCCUUCACAAAAGCAGAAAAAGGUGGAUGCCUAAAGCCACAUCAGUGUGGAAAGGGGCAGAAAUUUUGAUUUUUCUUCUGUGCCCUGAACACAUUGGAGAGUUUGGUAUGGCUUGGGUCCAAUGAAUGGAGCUUUUUCUUUCUUGGAUGGCAAACAGAGCUGAUAUCACAUCCAUGGGAUGCUGAUUUUGGAAAACAGGCCCUAAACAUGUCCAGUUCCUGGAGAGGCAGCUCUGCCUGAGUUCACUGGGUCAAAGGAAUUCAAAAUAACCUCACCAGGCAGACUUCCCCUGUUUGAUAUCCUUUCUCCUGGGCCCUGUGUCACACUGCAGAUUUUAGCCAGCACAGCUCCAGUCUUUUGCUGGAGAGGAUGCAGUGAUUUUUGCUGACACCGGUGAAAAACAUCCCAGACUUCCUGUGGUGGUUCCAUGAGAAAUCAGUUGUAUUUAUACCCCUGUUUUUCAUCCUCUUGGUGUCUUGGUCGAGGAGGCAACAUCACCCUCUUCAUCUAACCUGACUUAAAGAAAAUAAAUAAAAAAUCCAGUGAAGAUUGUGAGGAAAA
ensembl:lncRNA